CCCUCAUGGUUUGUAAUGAUAGAUUAAGCUUUCCCUGUUCCCACAAGACGGUAGACUCCACAAAGGCACAGACUUGUCUGUUCACCACCAUAUCUCUGAACAGACAGAGUACUUAGCAAAUGGCCACUUGGGAAAUAGUCAUUGAAUGAAUGUGUGGAAAGAUGGGUGGGUGGGUGGAUGAAUGAAUGGAUGAAUGGAUGGAUAGAUGAGUAGUAGAUGAUAAGAAGGAUGGAUGGUGGUUGGAUGGAUGGAUGAGUGGAUGGAUGGAUGGAUGGAUGAAUAGAUGAGUAGUAUUUUGUAAGAUGGAUGGUGGUGGGUGGAUGGAUGAGUGAAUGAAUGGGUGGAUAGGUGAGUAGCAGAUGGUAAGAUGGAUGGAUGGUGGGUGGAUGGAUGGAUGGAUGGAUAGAUGAGUAGUAGAUGGUAAGAUGGAUGGAUGGUGGGUGGAUGGAUGGAUGAGUGGAUGGAUGGAUGGAUGGGUGGAUGGAUAGAAGAGUAGUAGUUGUAAGAUGGAUGGAUGGUGGGUGGAAGGAUGGAUGAGUGGAUGGAUGGAUGGAUGGAUAGAUGAAUAGUAGUAAGAUGGAUGGAUGGUGGGUGGAUGGACGGAUGAGUGGAUGGAUGGAUGGAUGAGUAGUAGAUGGUAGUAUGGAUGGAUUUGGAUGAAUAGAUGAGUAGAGGGAUGGUAGGAUGGAUGGAUGAAUUGUGAUGAAUGGGUAGGUGGAUAGAUAAAUGGAUAGACGGAAAGACGAGUAUGUGGGUGAGUGAAUAGAUGGACGGGGAAUAGAAAGAUUGAUGAGUGGUUGGAAAGACUGAUUGGUAAUUGGGUGGAUACAUGGAAGAGUGGAUGGAUGGAUGGAUGGAUGGAUGGAUGGAUGGUUGGAUAGACAGUAGGACAGAUGUAGGUGUAUAGUGGGUGGAUGGAUGGAUGCACGGAUGAAUGGUAGGAUGAAUAGAUAGAUGAAUGCAUGGAUGGGUGAAUGGAUGAAUGAAUUGUGAGUAGAUAGAAAAAUAGAUGGGUUGGUAGAGAGAUGGAUGACUGAAAAGAUGAGUGUGUGGAUGGAUGGAUGGAUGGGAAGAUGGAUGGAUGGAUGGAUGGAUGGAUGGAUGGAUGGGUGGAUGGAUGGGAAGAGUGGUGGAUGGGUGGAUGGAUGGAUGAAUGAGAAUAUUGAUGGAUGGGUGGAUACAUGGAUGACCAUUUUACUCAAUGUUGUAUCUUCAAGUUCAGCACAAGACACCGUGCAUGGAAGGUAUUCAGGGAAUGGGUGAGUCAUGAGGACAUGAAGGAAGGAAGGAACAGAGUGGGUAACCAGGAAGGACUUGGCUCCUGAAGUCAAGGUUAUGGAAAGGGAUCCUUCCCUGCAAAUAAGCACAGGGUAGAAUCUUCUGCUUCCUUAUGCUGGGGCAGGCGGGCUUUCACAGACCUGGGCAUGUAGGAGGCAUCAAACGCUGGCUGCCUGAGCAAGUUUGUGAAAUAUGCCCCUAAGCCUGUUUCACUUUGCCCCAGCAUCACAGUGCAGCUGUGCUCCACAUUAUGUGAGCUGACCCCUUUUGUUUUUUGCCCUAAGACUGUAUCUUCUUCAGAGAUCAGUGGGCUUUUACUAGGCAGGUCCAGAAGGUAAACAGUUGAGGUUGCAUGGGCCUGAACCACUAAACUCUGACGCUAGAACCUGAAAGCAGACAUGGAUAACGCAGAACAAAUGGGCGUGUGGCUGCAUUCCAAUACAGCUUUAUUUAUAGACAUUGACAUUUGAAUUUCAUAUCAAGUUCAUGUGUCGCAAAAUAUUAUUCUUCCUUUGAUUUUCUUUUUCAACCACUAAAAAAUGUAAAAGCCAUUUUUAGCUCAUGGGCCAUUCAAAAACAAGUGGCAGGCUUGCUUAGGUCUGCAGGCUGUCAUUUGCUGUCUCCCUUCUUCCCCCAAUAUACCACCAUCCACUAUCUGAUGAAUGAAUGUGUACUCAUGCUUUUUUUUUGUCUUUUUUUCUAGAGACAGGGUCUUGCUCUGCCAUCCAGGCUGGAGUGGAGAUUGCAGCCUCAGACUCCUGGCCUCAAUCAAUCCUCCCAUCUCAGCCUCCUGAGUAGCUGGGACCAUAGGUCCGCGCCUCCACACCUGGCUAAUUUUUGUAUUUUUUGUAGCAAUGGGGUCUCACUAUGUUGCCCAGGCUGGUCUCAAACUCCUGGGCUUAUGUGAUCCUCUUGCCUUGGCCUCCAAAAGCACUGGGAUUUCAGGCAUGAGCCACCACGGCUGGCCCCUUGUGUGCUCAUUCUACAAGCAACUUUCAGGAUUUGAUAGACUGUAGUCAUAUUCCCCUCACAUUUCUACUUUCCUGGCUGAGAUGAACAUCAUUUGUGUGUGGGGUUUCUUCAGCAAUGGCGCCUAACAAAGCUCCCCCAGGUCAGUGCCUCCCAGCCAUAGGCCCUGCUCCUCACCCUCGCGGGCCAGCGGUGGGCCCUGCUUGAGGCUAUGAUUGGGCUCACGGCUGCCGCAGGUCUGUGAAUUCUGGGGCCUGGGCUGCGGGACAAUGGUGGACCCCGGGCACACGUUCUUCAGGGCAUGUCCUCAGCAGGCAGGAGGCCAACAUCCCUUGGCCAGAGAAAUUGCAAGGCCCAGCCCAAAGUCCACAACGGGGAAGUCACCCCACCUCACAGCGAGGGGAGGAGGGGGCAAUAUUUGCCGAGCAACAAUCCAAACGAUCACAUAUGUUCUCAUCAGUUUCUCUAAGUGACUAUUAAUUUCCUUAAUAGCACGGAGGCUCUUCGAGGCUAGGAGCUAUGUUUAUGUUGUUCACCUUUAGAAAGCAAUGAGCAAAUAUUUGCUUGACCAGAGAGUGACACCCACAUGUCUGGGGUCCCAUUUACACGAUGUAAUUGCCUCCUGCCCCCUCCCAGCGCCCUCUCAGCAGCUGUGCUGGAGGCUCCGCACCAGGACACCUUCUGGCUGGUCCAGCCCUGGAAGUUUGAAAGUCCUUCAAAGGUACCGCAGACUCUGGGGGCUGGAACUGCAGAUCUCUAUUGUCUCACAGUCCCAGAGGCUGGAAAUCCAAGGUCAAGUUGUGGGCAGGGUGGGUUCGUUCUGAGGCCUCUCUCCUGGGUGUGCAGAAAGCGUGUCUGUGUCCUAAUCACCUCUUCUUCUAGGGACACUAAGUCACGUUGGAUGAGGGCUCACCCAAAUGGUCUCAUUCUCAUUGAUUUACCUCCUUAAAGAGCUCAUCUCCAAAUAUAGCCACGUGAGGAGGUCUUGGGAGCUGGGACUUUAACGGAUCAAUUUGGGAGGAGACACAGCUUAGUCCAUCCCACAGAAGCUUGCAGAGAGGUCGGCUCUGCCCCCAGAGGGAGUUGGAGGUCUCAGAGCAUCUACCUGCUUCUGCCUUUCACUGCCAGGGAGCAAACCCGGCCAGGCCUCCAGGACCGCACAGCACACACAGUCCUGCAGAGAAGAAGCGCCCAGGCUGCUGUCUGGGGAGGCGGGUGCUCCUGUACCAGUCGCUCUAGUCAUGAACAGCCUCUAAAUGCCGGUCAUCGUUCCCCAUUGAUUAUUUCCAUUUUUUGCCAAUGCAGUUACUUGGAAGGAAUAAACACACCCCUGCACACCGAGGCACAGAAGCCUGGCCUUCCCAGCUCAGAGAGUCCUUGGUGGCAAUUUGAGAUGAAACGGCCGUGAUCGAAGAGAGAAAGUGGAGGCGAGGCUUAGCGUCCCACAGAGCAGAGGCCGCUGGUUCCCCGGGAUGGAGGGGCCAGGAGUGAAGACAGCCAUACCAGGCCUGAAUCGCCGGCUCAGGAGACAGAGGCCAGGGCCCAUAGGAGAGGAAGCUCCCGGGUAAGCUCUUCACAGUGCCUAGGCAUUCUGUCUUUGUGCUCCUACAAAACCAGGCUUAUGUUUGCAAAGCGUUGGGAGAAGUCGGAGUUCCCUGGGAACAUCGUGUAUACCAAACAGGGACGCCUUGGAGGAGGGCCCACAGGAUGGGAGAUCCCCAGGCAUCUCCCCAGAAAGCUGAGAAUUCAAAGAAGGACCGAGGCAGAUUUCUGAAUGUUUCCUUGCUCUGUCUUCUCAUCCACACUUUGUUCUGGGGUUGAGGAGGGUGUGGAGUUGGGAAUCCAACCCAAGGCUCCUGGCCUCUCUGCAGACCCCAGAGUCUGCUCAGGAAGCCACAAAACCAGUGCCCACACCAGCAUGUGCCACUCAGGAGAGGAGAAUUCAGGAGGAACGGAAGGCCUGCUCCCCACGGCUCGGCUCCAGGCCAUCUUCCUUCUUGAUGGGGACACCUCCUGCCUUGGAGAGAGGUUUCGCCACAGAAAUGCCUGAUCUGCCCAAGGCCACCCUGCCAGGGACAGUGGUUACUGAUGUUGCCUGCUCUGCAUCCACCGUAGCACAGGGGGAAGGAUGCCUGCCCAAUCCAUGGCACCCUCUCCUGUGUGCCAGCAUGCACAGGCUUCCUCCAUGCACAGGCCAGGGAUGGCUGGCCAAAUACUGUCACCAGGGGAGGCUGUGGGAACUCCCAGAGGGGAUAGCCUUGGCCUCUGUGUGGUCAGACCAUAAGGGCUAGCCUUGGCCUCUGUGUGGUCAGACCAGAAGGGCUAACCUUGACUUCUGUGUGAUCACAUCAGAAAGGCUAGCCUUGUCCUCUGUGUGAUCAGACCAGAAGGGCCAACCUUGGCCUCUCUGUGGUCAGAUAGAAGGGCUAGCCUUGGCCUCUGUGUGAUCAGACCAGAAGGGCUAGCCUUGACUUCUGCGUGAUCAGAUCAGAAGGGCUAGCCUUGACCUCUGUGUAGUCAGAUAGAAGGGCUAGCCUUGGCCUCUGUGUGAUCAGACCAGAAGGGCUAGCGUUGGCCUCUGUGUGGUCAGACCAGAAGGGACAGCCUUGGCCUCUGUGCAGUUGUCCCAGAAGAGCUAGCCUUAGAGAAUGGGACACCCUCCUCAAAGGUUCACCUACCUAACAGUUGUAAUUUUUAAUUUAAUCAUGUUUCUUGAUGUUUUUGGCUGAAUACUUUGGCUAACUAAAUAUAUUUUGUUCAAUGAUACCUAAUAAAAUGUCCCAUCUG
rnacentral:lncRNA from 1 species